rnacentral:misc_RNA from 1 species
UCGCCUGGGGGCCAAUCGUCGAUUAGCCAUGCAGCACCUGUGCUAGCCCCCGAAGGACACGGGCUUUCACCCGCUUUAACUAGCAUGUCAAGACCAGGUAAGGUUCUUCGCGUUGCAUCGAAUUAAACCACAUGCUCCACCGCUUGUGCGGGUCCCCGUCAAUUCCUUUGAGUUUUAGCCUUGCGGCCGUACUCCCCAGGCGGGGCGCUUAAUGCGUUAGCUGCGGCACGGAAGGAGUCGAUGACCUCCCACACCUAGCGCCCAUCGUUUACGGCGUGGACUAC